AAAGGCUUUAAGAAUUUUAGAGGUAAAUCUCCUAUGUCAAUAUAAAGAAGUUACCCAAGAAUAGGACAGAACUUCCAGAGAAGCUACUGGGUGCAUGCACCUGUUUUUGUUUUGUUGUUUAAUGCCUACCGUCUGUCAAUGAAAUGGUAUGGUGUUGACCCUCAUGUAAACUACUGAUGUGAGUUUCAGUCUAAUUGAAAAUGCUGUAUCUUUCUUCUCUUUAUAGAAAGCAUCAUCAUCCACCAGUUGCGUAUGAA
rnacentral:lncRNA from 1 species